GUUUGAUCCUGGCUCAGGAUGAACGCUAGCGAUAGGCCUAACACAUGCAAGUCGAGGGGCAGCACAUGACGUAGCAAUACAGAUGGUGGCGACCGGCGCACGGGUGAGUAACACGUAUGCAACCUACCUUCCACAGGAGGAUAACCCGUUGAAAGACGGGCUAAUACUCCAUAACACAGGGGUCCCGCAUGGGAAUAUUUGUUAAAUAUUUUUUCGGUAGAAGAUGGGCAUGCGUUCCAUUAGCUUGUUGGUGAGGUAAUAGCUUACCAAGGCGACGAUGGGUAGCCGGCCUGAGAGGGUGUACGGCCACACUGGAACUGAGAUACGGUCCAGACUCCUACGGGAGGCAGCAGUGGGGAAUAUUGGUCAAUGGGCGAAAGCCUGAACCAGCAAUGCCGUGUGGGGAGAUGAAGCUUUUUGGAGUGUAAACCCCUUUUAUGAGGAAAGAAGAUAAUUCGGUUAAUACCUGAGUUAUUUGACGGUACCUCAUGAAUAAGCCCCGGCUAACUCCGUGCCAGCAGCCGCGGUAAUACGGAGGGGGCAAGCGUUAUUCGGAAUUACUGGGCGUAAAGGGCGUGUAGGCGGCCUAGCAGGUCAGAUGUGAAAUCCCCGGGCUUAACCCGGGAACUGCGUUUGAAACCGUUGGGCUUGAGUCUGGGAGAGGAAAGCGGAAUUCCUGGUGUAGCGGUGAAAUGCGUAGAUAUCAGGAGGAACACCGGUGGCGAAAGCGGCUUUCUGGACCAGUACUGACGCUGAGACGCGAAAGCGUGGGUAGCAAACAGGAUUAGAUACCCCGGUAGUCCACGC
rnacentral:rRNA from 1 species